GAUGAACGCUAGCGGCAGGCCUAAUACAUGCAAGUCGAACGGUGUCUUCGGACAUAGUGGCGCACGGGUGCGUAACACGUAUGCAACCUACCUUACAUUGGGGGAUAGCCUUUCGAAAGGGAGAUUAAUACCGCAUAAGACAGUAGCUGGGCAUCCAGCAGCUGUUAAAGAUUUAUCGAUGUAAGCUGGGCAUGCGUCCAAUUAGCUAGUUGGUGAGGUAACGGCUCACCAAGGCAACGAUUGGUAGGGGAACUGAGAGGUCAAUCCCCCACACUGGCACAGAGAUACGGGCCAGACGCCUGCGGGAGGCAGCAGUAGGGAAUAUUGGGCAAUGGACGCAAGUCUGACCCAGCCAUGCCGCGUGCAGGAUGAAGGCGUUAUGCGUUGUAAACUGCUUUUAUACAGGAAGAAACGACUCUUGCGAGAGGCAUUGACGGUACUGUAUGAAUAAGCACCGGCUAACUCCGUGCCAGCAGCAGCCGCGGUAA
rnacentral:rRNA from 1 species